GAUAGCUCAACGUAUUAGGCUUCGGGGGAGUACUGCCAGACUGGAACCGGGAGAGGUAAGAGGUACUACAGGGGUAGGAGUGAAAUCUUGUAAUCCCUGUGGGACCACCUGUGGCGAAGGCGUCUUACCAGAACGGGUUCGACGGUGAGGGACGAAAGCUGGGGGCACGAACCGGAUUAGAUACCCGGGUAGUCCCAGCCGUAAACGAUGCUCGCUAGGUGUCAGGCAUGGCGCGACCGUGUCUGGUGCCGCAGGGAAGCCGUGAAGCGAGCCACCUGGGAAGUACGGCCGCAAGGCUGAAACUUAAAGGAAUUGGCGGGGGAGCACAACAACGGGUGGAAGCCUGCGGUUUAAUUGGACUCAACGCCGGACAACUCACCGGGGGCGACAGCAAUAUGUAGGCCAAGCUGAAGACUUUGCCUGAAUCGCUGAGAAGAGGUGCAUGG
rnacentral:rRNA from 1 species